rnacentral:rRNA from 1 species
CAAUAGCGUAUAUUAAAGUUGUUGCAGUUAAAAAGCUCGUAGUUGGAUUUGUGCCGUACGGUGUGUUCCGGGCACUUGUUGUCUGAGUAACCUGCUGUUGCCAUCCUUGGGUGGAACCUGUGUGGCAUUAGGUUGUCGUGCAGGGGAUGCCCAUCAUUUACUGUGAAAAAAUUAGAGUGUUCAAAGCAGGCUUAUGCCGUUGAAUAUAUUAGCAUGGAAUAAUGAGAUAGGACUUUUUUGCUAUUUUGUUGGUUUGCGCAAAGAGGUAAUGAUUAAUAGGGACAGUUGGGGGUAUUCGUAUUCCAUUGUCAGAGGUGAAAUUCUUGGAUUUUUGGAAGACGAACUACUGCGAAAGCAUUUACCAAGGAUGUUUUCAUUAA